rnacentral:rRNA from 1 species
GGGUAAACUCGUCCUCGCGUCGCAUCUACCAGUACCAAGCACGCACGCCCCCGGCACCAGCGAACUCUCUCUCUCUCUUGCCGCCUCCUCUAUAAAGACGGCUGCCCGUUGUUAGGCCUGGCUGCGUGUGUCAAAUCCGCGCCUUGAUCAGAUUCUCUCCAAGAUUCUACUAGGAUAGACGUGGCUGAUUCACUGGGCCUUUCAGCCAAUGGAGAAGAGGGGGGAGGAGAGCCAGGCCCCGCUGCUGGAGCCCAGGCCGGCGGCGGCGGAGAAUGGCGGGAGUGACAUGGUCGGCGAGGGAGGGGCGGAAGAAGAGGGGGUGGGGCUGGGGCGUCAGCUGCUGGAGGAGAACCGGAAGCUGUGGGCGGUGGCGGGGCCGUCCAUCUGCACGCGCUUCUCCACCUUCGGGGUCACCGUGAUCAGCCAGGCCUUCAUCGGCCACAUCGGCCCCACCGAGCUCGCCGCCUACGCCCUCGUCUCCACCGUGCUCAUGCGCUUCAGCAACGGCAUACUGCUCGGCAUGGCGAGCGCGCUGGAGACGUUGUGCGGGCAGUCGUACGGGGCGAAGCAGUACCACAUGAUGGGCAUCUACCUGCAGCGGUCCUGGAUCAUCCUCAGCGGCUGCGCCGUGCUCAUGCUCCCCAUCUUCAUAUUCACCGAGCCGCUGCUCGUCUUCAUCGGCCAGGACCCAACGAUCAGCGCCGUCGCCGGCACCAUCUCCAUAUGGUACAUCCCCGUCAUGUUCGCCAGCGUCUUCAACUUCACGCUCCAGAUGUACCUGCAGGCGCAGAGCAAGAACAUGAUCAUCACCUACCUCGCCUUCGUCAACCUCGGCCUCCAUCUGUUCCUCUCGUGGCUCCUGACCGUCAAGCUGCACCUUGGGCUCGCCGGGGUCAUGACCUCCAUGGUCAUCGCCAUGUGGAUACCUGCGUUUGGGCAGCUCAUCUUCGUCCUCUUCGGUGGCUGCCCUCUCACGUGGACGGGCUUCUCCUUCACAGCACUCACCGACCUCGUCCCUAUCUUCAAGCUCUCUCUGUCCUCUGGUGUGAUGCUCUGUUUGGAAUUGUGGUACAGCACCAUACUGGUCCUCCUAACCGGGUACAUGAAGAAUGCAGAGAGUGCACUUGACGCUCUUUCAAUAUGCCUUAACAUCAAUGGUUGGGAGAUGAUGAUCUCUAUCGGCUUUUUGGCUGCAACAGGAGUGCGUGUGGCAAACGAGCUCGGAGCUGGAAGUGCAAAAAGGGCCAAGUUUGCCAUCUUAAAUGUCGUCGCGACUUCUUUCUCAAUAGGCCUUGUGUUGUUCGUCUUCUUUCUUUUCUUCCGUGGGAAGCUUUCCUACAUAUUUACCACGAGUGAAGAGGUGGCUGCCUUAGUUGCUGACCUGUCGCCUCUUCUGGCCUUCUCCAUCUUGCUGAACAGUGUUCAACCAGUGCUAUCAGGUGUUGCCGUUGGUGCCGGUUGGCAAAGUGUCGUUGCCUAUGUUAACAUCGCAACAUAUUACUUGAUUGGUAUCCCUCUUGGAGCGAUCCUAGGUUAUGUUCUUGGAUACCAUGUGAAGGGCAUUUGGGUUGGCAUGCUGCUCGGGACACUGGUUCAAACAAUUGUACUUCUGUUCAUAACAAUUAGGACCGACUGGGAUAAACAGGUGGAGGUUACUCAGGAGAGAUUGAAGAGGUGGUACAUGGACGGGAACAAUGGAAAGUCAGAUUCAAGGUCAAGUCCAUGAGAUUAGGAAUCCGGCACAAGUAAUGAAUCGCCAUCAAGGUAGAACAUGCAUACUCUGCUUGAUCGGAGUUCGCGGCGUUUCAGAGGUUAACUACGGUUCUUUCAAUAUGUGAAGAAUGAAUGGAUGGAACAUUUGUAGGCGCAGAUGUGUCGGAGGUUGUUCCUCAAGAUCGAGCAAAAGGUAACAGUGAGUCAGUAACGCAGGCUCCACUAGAGAAUGGAGAACAUACUAUCUCUGUUUCUGGAUAUUAGACAUUUUGGCAGUUCAAUUGAAACUGCAAAAGCGUCUUAUAUUUAGGAAGAGAGGGUGUAUUACUCAAGGGACACUUGAUUUUCUGUAAUUUCUACCACUGCUUCAGCAUGUAAAAUAUGCCUUGGAUUGCUGUGGGCUGGUGGCACUAGUGUUGUUUUGGAUUGAUUGAUUUUGGUUGUGAU